rnacentral:rRNA from 1 species
AAGAGUUUGAUCAUGGCUCAGAUUGAACGCUGGCGGCAGGCCUAACACAUGCAAGUCGAACGGUAACAGGAAGCAGCUUGCUGCUUCGCUGACGAGUGGCGGACGGGUGAGUAAUGUCUGGGAAACUGCCUGAUGGAGGGGGAUAACUACUGGAAACGGUGGCUAAUACCGCAUAACGUCGCAAGACCAAAGAGGGGGACCUUCGGGCCUCUUGCCAUCAGAUGUGCCCAGAUGGGAUUAGCUUGUUGGUGAGGUAACGGCUCACCAAGGCGACGAUCCCUAGCUGGUCUGAGAGGAUGACCAGCCACACUGGAACUGAGACACGGUCCAGACUCCUACGGGAGGCAGCAGUGGGGAAUAUUGCACAAUGGGCGCAAGCCUGAUGCAGCCAUGCCGCGUGUAUGAAGAAGGCCUUCGGGUUGUAAAGUACUUUCAGCGGGGAGGAAGGUGUUGUGGUUAAUAACCGCAGCAAUUGACGUUACCCGCAGAAGAAGCACCGGCUAACUCCGUGCCAGCAGCCGCGGUAAUACGGAGGGUGCAAGCGUUAAUCGGAAUUACUGGGCGUAAAGCGCACGCAGGCGGUCUGUCAAGUCGGAUGUGAAAUCCCCGGGCUCAACCUGGGAACUGCAUUCGAAACUGGCAGGCUUGAGUCUUGUAGAGGGGGGUAGAAUUCCAGGUGUAGCGGUGAAAUGCGUAGAGAUCUGGAGGAAUACCGGUGGCGAAGGCGGCCCCCUGGACAAAGACUGACGCUCAGGUGCGAAAGCGUGGGGAGCAAACAGGAUUAGAUACCCUGGUAGUCCACGCCGUAAACGAUGUCUACUUGGAGGUUGUGCCCUUGAGGCGUGGCUUCCGGAGCUAACGCGUUAAGUAGACCGCCUGGGGAGUACGGCCGCAAGGUUAAAACUCAAAUGAAUUGACGGGGGCCCGCACAAGCGGUGGAGCAUGUGGUUUAAUUCGAUGCAACGCGAAGAACCUUACCUGGUCUUGACAUCCACGGAAGUUUUCAGAGAUGAGAAUGUGCCUUCGGGAACCGUGAGACAGGUGCUGCAUGGCU